UCCGGAUGGUGCAAGCGUUAAUCGGAAUUACUGGGCGUAAAGCGCACGCAGGUGGCUGAGUCAGUCGAUUGUGAAAGCCCUGGGCUUAACCUGGGAAUUGCAGUCGAUACUACUCAGCUAGAGUAUGGGAGAGGGCAGUGGAAUUCCCGGUGUAGCGGUGAAAUGCGUAGAUAUCGGGAGGAACAUCAGUGGCGAAGGCGGCUGCCUGGCCCAAUACUGACACUCAGGUGCGACAGCGUGGGGAGCAAACAGG
rnacentral:rRNA from 1 species